ensembl:lncRNA
CUUUUUUCGCAUUUUGCCUUGUUAAGAGCUCCGCAAUGGCUGACCUGGGAAUUGAGUUUUAAUUAAUGGAGGGAAAUUCUUCUCGUCCGCCCCAUAAUGAGAGAAGACAGAGCCAUUCAAUUUGGCAUUUGGGAGUCUUACCCUACACCCCUUCAGUCCAGCACUUCACCUGUAGGCGCUGCCGGGCAGACAGAGAGCGUCCCGCUUCCACCUCAUCCCAUGGCAGCUCAUUUAAAACACAUCAAGCUGAUUGCUGGGUUUCUGCACUGACAAGGCCCAGCAUUUGUUCCAUCAGCCUGCAGGGUCGCAGACCACACUGAGGAGCAGUGGGGAGUCCUGCUCAGCACCUGCAGCUCUCGCGAGGUGGCCCGCUAGCAAAGAAAGGCUUUGGCCACGGCCCAAAUAUCUGCCUGCACCUUCUGUGCAAACGCGGCAGCCUCAGGAAACCAGGAGGCAGCAAUAUUGUGGAACAAAUGUCCCCUAAUCUCAACCGGCUGGUCUGGGGUCCUAGGUGGGGCCUCCUCCUUAGAGUUUGACCCUGGACCGUGGUCACGCAGGGCGGCGCCACUGGUGACUAAACAGCACGCACCUGCAGAGGUGUCACUCACAGCGACGUCGGGUUCCAUCAGCUCCACCUGAGCUGGAAUUACUACUAGUACUACAGAAGGAAUGGAGUUCAUAUUUUUACUUUUAGAUCAUAUUGUAGAUCAAGUCAAAAUUCACAACAAUGACAAUAAUCACCUGCCAAACAUGUUGCACUUAAUAA